AUUUAGGCAAGGUUGAGGUCAGUUAGAACGCCUAACUGGUUUUGUCUGCUCAGGGGUUCUUCAGGCCUGGUCUCUAUUUUAAUAUUUAGCUCAGGUAAGGUAAUUAUGCUGGGGUUUCACAGUAAUCUAUUAUAGUCUGGAAAAUUAAGUCUUCCUGGAAUACAACAGGACCUCACCGCAGAUGUCAAAUACGAGUCCACCAGCUUAAGGGUCCCUGGUGAGGAUGACAGAAACUUGAGAAGCUACACUUAUCAAACAUCCCACAACCUAACUCAUGAAAGUUGGCUGAGACGCCUAAGUGCUGAGCGUCGGAGGCUGUCACUUGUUUAUGAUCCACAUAUCAGAGUGCUUGUUUCUGCCACGUCUCCAGCCCGGGAGUACUGCAGGGCCCUGGGGCUCUUUACCCACGUGCACACCCUCAGUCAGGGGCAGCAAAGUUUUUGUGCG
rnacentral:lncRNA from 1 species